GAAUAGAUUGUCUUCAAUUUAUCUUCAAAACAUUAUAUUUGAAGAACGACAAAUAAGUUUAAUAACUGUUCCCGUUUCGUUUACGUUUUCCGAUUGGUUAACUGUAAUAUCAUGUGCCGGAAAUGUAAAUAUUCGGAGGAGUUCCGAAUGAAAUGUAAAAUGUGUGGACCGGUAAUUAUGUGAAUUGGAAUAAUUAUGUUUUAUGUUGUUUUGUUAUGUUUACUGCAUUAAUAAACAAUGAGUUAAGCUGUUUUCUUUAAUUUAAUCGAUAUUGGAUUAAAUGUUCACCUAACUUUAUUUGUUAAUGUGUUGAAGGUGACAUAAAUUUUAUUACGAUUGCCCCCGAGUUGUUUUAUUUUUAGAACACAACACAUAUCCGGAUGUUGCUAUUUUUAGAACCAGAAGGUAUUUCCCCGCUAUUCAUAGGUCAAUAAUGGAAUUUCUACAUCCUCGAUUAAUAGUUGGAAACCCGUUUUUUGUCAUGAAUAUAAGUUUAAUAUAAGUAAACACUAAAAGUGCACACUGACAGUUGAUUACGAUACAUCUAACAAUUUGAGUUAUUACAGUAAAACAUGGAUUAUAAGUGAAUUAUACGCGUAAGAGAAGAUUUUCUGUCGAAAAAACUAAUGUCAACAAUCAGCAUGGAAUUGGGAUAUUCGUAUCAAAGGGCUAUUCAUGCAGGAAAAGGACUGAAUAUUACUAUUAUAUGAAGAAUUCCAGCCUGCAUUAAAUACUUUGUUGGAUCAUUGAGACAGAUUUGACAUCCAUGUCUAUCCACAUUUGAUAGAGAUGAUCACUAAACAUUCUAGAUGGGUAAAGACCUGUUAAAUCAGCAUUGACUCAGCAUUGAGUAAUUUUCAUCUGUACAGACACUACAAGUACAAACGCAUGGGAACAAACCAAACUUCAAAUGUUGAAGAGUGAAGAAUUAUUGUGAAAAGUUCUAAAUGUUAGAAUACCAUUGACUAAAUAAAACAAAUAGACAUCGAUUACCAACAGAGACUGUUUACAUGUUAUAAUAUUCAAAAGACAUUAGUUGAGAACUUUCACUCUGACAUUUUUGGAGGGGCAUUACCGCCUACUUAGUGUUCUUGUUUCUUUACAUAUUUUAAUUUAAAAGUACAUUCAUUGUUUUUAAAUCUGAAUUCUGAGUUAGUAUCAUAAGUAAAAUUCAUUUAUUUGAAUGAUUACAUUUUAUGAAUAAGUCCAAUUGAGCUUUUUACAAGAAAAAGGUUGAUUUUUAAGCAUUUUAUUAGUUAUAAAAAUGUAUAGUUACAUGACAUUAUGUAUAUUUUCUUCAAAACUGAACGGUAAACUAUCAUAAAUUGUCUUUUGAAUUGUUAAUUAGACAUCAUAGAAAAUAUUUAAAUGAUUUCAACAACAACAAUGUUUCUAAUGAAGGAUCUUGAGUUUAAUUUCCUAAUAAGAAUGAACUUAAAACAUGGUAUUUCUGCCUUGUGAUACUAUAGUAGACCACAGUAAAUCUUUUAGCAAUCACCAAUUGAUCAUUUAAUAUUUGUCAUGCAUUCUGCUAUUAUAAACAUGGUGACAAGCUUGUUAUCAGUAAACGAUAUUUCAGUAAAUGCAUUAUUUAGUAAGUAGUUAUUGUUUUUUCAUUCAAUUUGAUGUGUGUUAUAUAUACAAUUAUAUGUAUUGAUUUCAAAUAAGAGUUUCACUUUAAAGAUGCUCAUUUAAAGAUAAUGAACAGACACACAAAAACUAGACACAUUUGAUACUAAUUAUACGAAUGAUUAUUGUUUUAUAUAUAGGUGACCUCUGAUUUGUUUUGGAGAUAUUCAUAAAUGGGUGUUAUUCUUUAUUGUCUUCAGUUUCUUAUACAUUUAAGGAUUUUUAUAAUUGCUUUUCUGGUAU